rnacentral:pre_miRNA from 1 species
CCGAGGGGGCCGGGACCCCGUGUACGGGAUCCCGGCCCCCUCGGU